UGAACUUAUAUUAUUUAACAUGUUUAAAUUUGCACAAGUGUUUAUACAUAAAAAAUGUAAAUAAUUUAAACAAAACGGAAAUGCUAAAAGAAAAUGGUUUGUUACGAAAAAAAGAACAUAGUAAUAUAUUUGGUAGCUCAUUAAAUGAUUUUGAUUUACAUAAAAAGCCACCUAUUUUAUGUUUUUGUCAUGCUUUAUUAAAUAAAAAAACAAAAAAAAUAAAUAAAAGCCAUAAAAAAAAUAUACAUAAUACGUUAAAAUUUGUAAAAAGUAUAAAUACUUUAAAAAAUAAAGGAUAUAUAAAUAAUAAAUUUUAUAUAUAUGAAAAUUAUGUUAAUAAAAUAUGUAAUCAUAUGUUCCUUAAAAAUGAUAAGUUAAAUGAGAUUUGCUUUUCUACAAAGAAAUGGCAUUAUAUUAUGAGAAUGAAAAAAGACAGAAAAAAAAAAAAAAACUACUUUUAUACAUAUGAAAAAACUAAAAAAAUGAUAAAAUAUAAAAGUAAAACUUACUGUUUGUAUAAGUCAAAUUGUAUCAAAAGAAUAGAUUCGGUAAAAGAAAGAUUAAAAAAAAAAACAGAAGAUGGUAUGAGAAUAAUAAUUUUUUUUAAAAUGCUAUGUUUGUAUAAAUAUGCUUUAGCUAUUUCUAGCAAUCAUACAAAUCAAAAAUACAUAUAUACUAUAUUAAAUGGUGAAGAGUUACAUACAUUGUCUAAUUCUGUUGAAGAGAAAAAUAGUAGUACUAGUUUUAAGCACAAAUGGAAUGCAUAUAAUGAAGAAUGUAACACCUAUAGUGCUAUAAAAAAAGAAAUACUUCAAUAUAUUAUAAAAUAUUUAAAAAAAGUUAAAAAAAUAAUUCAAUUUGAUACAUAUUUAUAUUUACUACUUAGUGUUGUUUAUUAUGAUUUACAAAAAUUUAAUGAAAGUAUACUAUGCGUAAGAAAUAGUAUUAAAAAGGAUUACUUUAAUUUUGUUUCUUGGUAUUAUUUAAAUUAUUUUAUUUCUAUUGAAGUAAUUAAAUCGCCUAGUUUGGUGUAUAAAGGAAGUAAUAAAAGGUGUGACAGUUUGUGUGACAAUGUAUGGAUUGAUAGAGAGUGUAAAAAAAAAAAAAAAAUAAAUAAAACGAAAUUGCGCUUUACAAAAAAAAAAAAUAUAUAUUUAAUAAAUUCGAAUAAAAUGAAACAACUUUGCAAUUACAUAUUUAAUAAUAAUUUUUUUUUACAUAAUAAGUUAAACGAAACAAAUGUUAUGAAUAAUUAUAACAACUAUGUUUAUAAUAACCCAUUUAGUAAUUUAAACGAAUCAUUUUUUUUUAAAAAAAAUUAUUUCGUGAGUAAAAUUUUCGAUAAGGAUGUUACAGCAGGAUGGAAAGAAGUUGGUAAUGGUAGAAGGAAAACACGGGGAGAAAAAAAAAAAAAAAAGACAAAGAAGGAUAGGAAGAAAAAGUUAGAGCAAAAAAAAGAGAAAAUAAAAGCGGAAAGGAAGCAGAGUAAAAAACAAAACCUAAAUAAUAAAAAAAUUUUUGAAAAGUACAAAGCAUAUAUAAAACAAUACAAAUUCAAAAAAAAUAUUAUGUCUUUAUUUGGAUUUGCACAUUUUUGUUCACUGAAUAAUUUUCUUUAUAAAUAUUCUAUAAAAACAUAUAAAUAUUUGAGAACUAUAUUUCCUAAAAACUUUUAUAUAACAUGUGAGUUGGCUAAAUUGUAUUACUACAUAGGUAAUAUGAAUAAAAGUGUUUUUUUUUUUAAAAAAAUAAAACACCUGUGUCAUCAUAAUAAAAAUUUAAAUAUACAAUUUAUGUAUAAAAUGUUUGUUUAUUAUUAUAUGCAAAAAAAAAAUAUAUAUAUAAAGGAAAAAAAAAAAAAUAUAGUAACUAAUAGUAACAAAAAUCGAAGCGAUAAUAAUGAAAAUGUAAUUUCAGAUUACAGCAAAAAAAAUGUUAAUUAUAUAAAAAAUGAUAUUACAAUUAUAAAUAAAAAAUUAUAUGAUAAAAUAAAAAUAAAAUGGUUUCCUAAAUAUUUUAUAAAUCAAUUUAACUAUUUAGAAUUAUUGGUAAAUAUAUACUAUAUGAAUAAAAAUGGGAACUCACUUUUUGUUGUUCUACAUGAUUAUAAAAAUUAUAUGAGAGAAAAAAAAAAUGAAAUAAGAAAAUACUAUAAAAUAACAAAAAAAAAGGCAAAAGAUGUAGAUAACUACGAUGAUGAUACAUUUUAUUAUAUACUUGGGACGUGUUAUGCAUUAAAAAAAAAUUAUAAAAAAUCUAUCAUUUACUUUAAAAUGGCAAUUAAAAACAAUAAUUUUCAUACACACUCCUAUUUAAGUUUAGCACAAGCAUAUAUUUUAUGUGGAAAUAUAAAUAGUUCCAUUUUUAUUUUAACAAAACUGAUUAGUAUAUAUUUUAGUAAUUCCAAUGCAUGGUUUAGCUUAGCUAAAUGUUUAGAAUAUCAAAUGAAUUAUUCUUUUUGUAUUUUUUCAUAUAAGAAUGCUAUUUAUUUUCAAACAAAUACAUUUAUUUAUUAUUACUUUUUAUCUAAUUUUUAUUUCAAACAUAAUGAUUUGAAUAAUUAUAUAAAAACUUUAGAAAGUGGAUGGGAAAUUAAAAAAAACAAAAAAAAUAUACUGUUUUGUGCUAAACUGUUUCAUAUAUAUUUAACUUUGUUAAGGAAAAAUAGUAGAAAAGCAGUAUUAUGUGCUUUUUGUAAUGAGAAUAAUGAAAUUAAAUUAAUUUGUCCUACUGAGGAACUAAAAAAUAAACAUUAUUAUUAUAGUGAAAAAAAUAAUUGUUAUAAAUGGUGCGCU
rnacentral:lncRNA from 1 species